rnacentral:rRNA from 1 species
ACGGAGGAUCCAAGCGUUAUCCGGAUUUAUUGGGUUUAAAGGGUGCGUAGGCGGCGUUGUAAGUCAGUGGUGAAAGUUUUCAGCUUAACUGGAAAAUUGCCAUUGAUACUGCAGUGCUUGAGUAUAGAUGAGGUGGGCGGAAUGUGUCAUGUAGCGGUGAAAUGCAUAGAUAUGACACAGAACACCGAUUGCGAAGGCAGCUCACUAAACUAUAACUGACGCUGAGGCACGAAAGCGUGGGGAUCAAACAGGAUUAGAUACCCUGGUAGUCCACGCCCUAAACGAUGAUUACUCGAUGUUAGCGAUAUACUGUUAGCGUCAAAGCGAAAGCGUUAAGUAAUCCACCUGGGGAGUACGCCCGCAAGGGUG